UACGUAGGGCGCAAGCGUUAUCCGGAAUUAUUGGGCGUAAAGAGCUCGUAGGGGGUUUGUCGCGUCUGCCGUGAAAGUCCGGGGCUCAACUCCGGAUCUGCGGUGGGUACGGGCAGACUAGAGUGAUGUAGGGGAGACUGGAAUUCCUGGUGUAGCGGUGAAAUGCGCAGAUAUCAGGAGGAACACCGGUGGCGAAGGCGGGUCUCUGGGCCGAUACUGACGCUGAGGAGCGAAAGCGUGGGGAGCGAACAGG
rnacentral:rRNA from 1 species